rnacentral:rRNA from 1 species
UAGAGUAGGGAAUCUUCCACAAUGGACGCAAGUCUGAUGGAGCAACGCCGCGUGAGUGAAGAAGGUUUUCGGAUCGUAAAGCUCUGUUGUUGGUGAAGAAAGAUAGUGAGAGUAACUGCUCAUUAUUUGCCGGUAAUCAACCAGAAAGUCACGGCUAACUACGUG